rnacentral:rRNA from 1 species
AGCGAACGCUGGCGGCAGGCUUAACACAUGCAAGUCGAGCGGGCGUAGCAAUACGUCAGCGGCAGACGGGUGAGUAACGCGUGGGAACAUACCUUUUGGUUCGGAACAACACAGGGAAACUUGUGCUAAUACCGGAUAAGCCCUUACGGGGAAAGAUUUAUCGCCGAAAGAUUGGCCCGCGUCUGAUUAGCUAGUUGGUGAGGUAAUGGCUCACCAAGGCGACGAUCAGAGCUGGUCUGAGAGGAUGAUCAGCCACAUUGGGGACUGAGACACGGCCCAAACUCCUACGGGAGGCAGCAGUGGGGAAUAUUGGACAAUGGGCGCAAGCCUGAUCCAGCCAUGCCGCGUGAGUGAUGAAGGCCCUAGGGUUGUAAAGCUCUUUUGUGCGGGAAGAUAAUGACGGUACCGC